GGACUUCCGGGGGGCGGCGCGAACGGUAAUGGCGGUCUUCUCCCGACCGGAGAAGAAGCUCCGCUGAAACCGGGUCGUCCGCUACGGCGAAGCGGAGACCCAACGAGAAAAACCCCAGGCAGCAAGAGCCUGGGGUCCUGAGGCUCGGCGGGCGCCAAGAGCAGCCCUCCAACUGCAGAAGGAGCCUCGUAAGAGGCUCCGGAGCGUGGAGGGGGGCUGCGGCGCUGUGAGCCGUUUCACAGUCAGCGGAGUGAAGCCGCGCUGCUGCUGCCGGUGAGCGCUGAUCCCUUUUCCUGUUAAAAUUCGGAUCUGGAAGAAAACAACUUACUCGUGAGUAAAGACUGAAUCACUUGGAAUUACAAAUUUUAAAUGAGAAGGUUUAAAUUGACUUGAAUUUGGCUGAAAGCGGAGAGACGUGGAAACAGGAAGUCCGUCUUCCGCUGCCAUUGAACUUGAAAAAAAAAAGCAACUAAAGUGGAGGAGUGGAGGCUGAAAGAAAGAGAUUUUAAACUCUACACAGCCAAGCAUCUAUGGAACUUACAAUUUAAAGUAAAAUUAGCAAGUUAAAGAUUUGGACCUUUUAUUUGCACUUGACUUUCCCCUUUUAUUGGAUUACAAAUUGGAAGGUGUAACCCAGAGUCAGGAUUGCUUGAGCACUGUAACAGUGGGCUGUCAGUGUUUGACUUGGAUACUGUAUAUCAGAAGUUGCAACAAUCUGAGGGUAUUGAGACCUUUUAAAUUUGAAACAUUCUUUUUGGAGACAAAUAAGCACUGUCUGCAACAAAGUGAUUACUUUUAAACUCUGCUUAAUACUUAUAUUGGAAGGUUCUGGGACAUUAAAUCAGACUCUGAAAAGACACUUUAAGCUCCCUCUAGAGGAUUGGAUUAAAACAGUGACUUUAUAAAAACAUUUACUUUCGAUUCUCUUGUUGUCUGCAUGCUCUGGGCCUCUCUAUUCCUGUGGGAAAAACUCAGUGUGACCUUGACUGAUAGAUAACAUUGGAAUGAGUGGUACAAGAAGAAGAGGAAGAGUUAGACAAACAACUCUAACAAAUCUAACCUCAGCCUCGCAGACACGUAGAUCAUCUGUGCCUACUUUGCCCUCAGAAGUACAACUUGAAGAAGCUGCCUUGCUACAGGCAAAAGAGGGAGAGGGUGAAGUAGAGCAGUUACAAUUGGAAGAUAUGGCCUCAGGAGCAUCUGUUUCUGUGCUAGAAAAAAUCUUUGAAAAAUUGGAAGCUUUGGACAAGAAAGUAGAUGCGCAAUCAGCAAAGAUUGAUAAAAAUACAGAUUGUCUAAACAAAUUAACUACACAGGUGGGACAGAAUACACAAGCAAUUGGACAGUUGACGGAGGCCUCAGUAGAAAACCGAAAAUUGGCUGAGGAUACCAGACAAAAAUUGGAAAAUUUAGAGCAAGAGGUAAGACCACUCACUAAACAAGUUGGGGAACAUCAGACUUAUCUUUCUAUGAUAGAACUGCGAAAUCGUGAGAAUAAUUUGAGGAUUAGAUCAUUACAAGAGGCAGAAGAAGGAAAUCUAACUGAGUUUUUGACCAAAGAACUUUCCAAGUUCUGGAAUUUGGAAGAAAAGGACUUUAAAAUUGUGUCAGCUUUCAGACUUGGAAGAUUUAUAAAGAAGGAGAGGCCCAGGGAUUGUUUGAUUACAUUGAGAUCGAAGGAGGAAAGGGAUAAGAUUUUGGGCCUACAUUACGAAAAGUCACUGGAAGUUUUGGAUAGAAGAAUUGAGAUAUAUAAAGAUAUCCCAAGACAACUGUUGGACCUUAGAGCCGCCUAUUCUGAACUUGCUAAACUAUUAAGGAGCAACGCAAUUCCAUUCAGGUGGGAUUUUCCCCAAGGAUUAUCUUUUACCUUUAGAGCGAGAAAGGUUAAAAUUAGAACAUUGGAAGAGAGAGAUAAAUUUUUGGCUACACACGGAGAGGACCUACAUAAAGGAAUUGAACUACCUUCCGGGCCUGAGGCAAAGCCAGCAUCAAUACCUCCACCUCGGGAACUUGAAGAUCAAGAGAAGACACCACCCCAGGAGAAAUAACCAGAUAGAUCCAGGAUGUCUCUGCAACUGUUGAGCUGGAAUAUUAAUGGUUGCAAUAUUCCGGAGAAAAGGAAGAAAAUAUUUCAUAUAUUAAAAAAAGAACAAUUGGACAUUAUUUGCUUACAAGAAACACAUGUGACGAGGCUCCACAGAAAAGUGUUAAUAAAUAAAAGAUUGGGCCAGGAAUUUAUUUCGUCGGAUAAAGUGAAGAAGAGAGGAGUGGUGAUAUAUGCAAAAGAGAGCCUGUCACCUAAAUUUCUAUUUAAAGAUGAGCAUGGAAGGAUUUUGGCUAUUGAGAUACAAUAUCAAGGAGAGAAACUGCUGAUAUUAGGAAUCUAUGCGCCUAAUGAAGGGAAAUCGGAAUUUUACAAGAAGUUGCAGGGGACAAUGCUGGAUCAUCUGGAUUACAACAACAUCAUAAUGAUGGGAGACAUGAACGGGGUCGUGUCAACUAACAUGGACAAGUCGCAAAGUCAAAACAUCACAAAAGAUGGCAGACUACCUAAAACCUUUUUGAAAUGACUGACAAUAUGGACUUGAUCGACAUUUGGAGAACAAAGAACCCACUAGGUAGAGAAGGAACAUUCUUUUCUGAAGCCCAACUGACCUGGACAAGAAUCGACCAAAUAUGGAUCUCUAGAGGCCUGGCACCUAGGGUUAGAAAAGUGGAAAUCUGCCCAAAGACCUGUUCUGACCACAACGCAGUAAAGAUGGACAUGACACUACUACCAACUGGAUCCUUUAGAUGGAAGAUGAAUGACAAUUUGUUUAGAGAUCAGGAAAUUACCAAGAAGGCCCAAAAGUUUUGAAAGAUUAUUUUGAGAUAAAUAUGAACAAUUCGGUGGAAAAAGAAUCGUCUGGGACGCAAGCAAAGCUGUUAUGAGGGGAUUCCUGAUACAACAGAAUGUAGU
rnacentral:lncRNA from 1 species